GACAGAGGGUGCAAACGUUGUUCGGAAUUACUGGGCGUAAAGGGUUCGUAGGUGGCUUGUUAAGUCAGACGUGAAAUCCCUCGGCUCAACCGGGGAACUGCGUCUGAGACUGAUGAGCUCGAGUGCAGGAGAGGAACGCGGAAUUCCAGGUGUAGCGGUGAAAUGCGUAGAUAUCUGGAGGAACACCGGUGGCGAAGGCGGUUCUCUGGGCCAUUACUGACGCUGAGGAGCGAAAGCGUGGGGAGCGAACAGG
rnacentral:rRNA from 1 species